rnacentral:rRNA from 1 species
GAUCCUAGGCUCAGGAUGAACGCUAGCGACAGGCUUAACACAUGCAAGUCGAGGGGCAGCACAGGUAGCAAUACCGGGUGGCGACCGGCGCACGGGUGAGUAACGCGUAUGCAACUUACCUAUCAGAGGGGGAUAACCCGGCGAAAGUCGGACUAAUACCGCAUGAAGCAGGGGUCCCGCAUGGGGAUAUUUGCUAAAGAUUCAUCGCUGAUAGAUAGGCAUGCGUUCCAUUAGG